GAAUUAUUUAACAAUCUGCCAAAAAGAAGAAAAUUAAAUUCCGAUGAAAAAGAAGAUGUUUGUCUUCUUUUGAGUAUGCACGGAAACAAGUGGCUUAUUAAAGAUCAAGUUAUGAAGGAAACAGGUAAAAAAGUUACUCUAAAAGAUCUUCAUAACUUAGCUGCAAAACAGAAAGGUACCACAGAUUUAAAAUCACUAUUUGCAGUCUUUCAAGAAUGUAAUGUUUAAAAGACCAGGUUGCAGUGGUGAAGUUGAAAGCAAUACAGUACA